rnacentral:rRNA from 1 species
UGAGGAAUAUUGGUCAAUGGACGCAAGUCUGAACCAGCCAUGCCGCGUGAAGGAUGAAGGCCUUCUGGGUUGUAAACUUCUUUUACCUGGGAAGAAACCUCCGAUUUCUAUUGGAGUUGACGGUACCAGAGGAAUAAGCACCGGCUAACUCCGUGCCAGCAGCCGCGGUAAUACGGAGGGUGCAAGCGUUAUCCGGAUUUACUGGGUUUAAAGGGUGUGUAGGCGGGCUAUUAAGUCAGUGGUGAAAUCUCCGGGCUCAACCCGGAAACUGCCAUUGAUACUAUUAGUCUUGAAUUUUGUUGAGGUAGGCGGAAUAAGUCAUGUAGCGGUGAAAUGCAUAGAUAUGACUUAGAACACCAAUUGCGAAGGCAGCUUACUAAGCAAAUAUUGACGCUGAGGCACGAAAGCGUGGGGAUCAAACAG